AUGAAUGGCAACAAGAAGAUGGAACUAUCCCAUUUUGUUAACCACCAAAUGAAGAUUUGCUUUUUGGGGGUGGCACUUUCAAGAUGGCUGCCGUUACCAUGGAAACGGAACAAAUGUGAAAAAAUCCAGUUUUUUGUUUUGGUGAACUUUUUGGAUACUAUUUAACUCAGAAUCAUUAUAUUUUAAUACAAUGUAGGUGCCCACUAUAUACAGGUGUUGGAUGAUUUUGGCACUCAUUGGAACUACUAUGUUGCCAUGGAAACUACUCCAAAAAAUUCAAAAAUCUCAAAAUGUUCCAAACUUAAUGAAACUUCACAGUAACGAUGAGCAACAUUGGAAGAUGUGGAAUUUGGCGUUGGAAUUUCCAAAAUUACUGUUGUUACCAUGGAAACAAUGCAAAAAGGUCAAAACUUUGAAUUUUCACAGAACAUUCCAGAACAUCAAUGUUAAAUUUAUUCUAGAGACAUUAAAUGGUAUAUGAUUGUGGAGGGAAAAAAUUGCAGCGGGGGUUUGACUUUGGAAUAUUUAAAAUGGCCGCCGUUACCAUGGAAACAGCAAAAAUACAAAAAACUUCAAAAUGCUUCAAAUUUAUUGAAACUUAUAACAAAUGUUGCUCAGCUAAUGUAGACUUGACUUUUGAGUUUGGAAUUUCCAAAAUGGCCGCCGUUACCAUGGCAACCGCUCACCUGGCAAUAGGGGAAGGGUGCCAUCCGCUAUUGCUUGCAAUCGCAAAUCUAGUUAUUAUUAUUAUUUUUCUUGCAACACAUUUUGUCCAGGCGAUUUCUCCAAAUCUAAAGUACCAAAGUUGAUAGAACUUUACUAUAUUAAGGACCCCCAUGUGCAGAGUUGCAGGAAGCAUGGAAUGGUUCAAGAUGGCUGCCGUUACCAUGGAAACGGAACAAACGUGAAAAAAAAACAGUUUUUGUUUUUGGUGAACUGUUUGGAUAUGCUUUAACUCAGAAUCAUUAUAUUUUAACACAAUGGAGGUGCCCACUAUAUACAGGUGUUGGGUGAUUUUGGCACUCAUUGGAACUACUAUGUUGCCAUGGAAACUACACCAAAAAUUUCAAAAAUAUCAAAAUGCACAAAAAUUCAUGAAACUUCACAGUAACGAUGAGCAACAUUGGAAGAUCUGGCAUUUGGAGUUAGAAUUUCUAAAAUAUUUGUUGUUACCAUGGAA
rnacentral:lncRNA from 1 species